rnacentral:rRNA from 1 species
UAACAGUGGGAAACCGCUGCUAAUACCGGAUACCCCACCGGAUCACAUGGUCUGAUGAGGAAAAUGCCUGGUUCUCUAGAAUCAGUACGCUUCGGGAGGGGCUCGCGGCCUAUCAGCUUGUUGGUGGGGUAACGGCCUACCAAGGCUUCGACGGGUAGCUGGUCUGAGAGGACGAUCAGCCACACUGGGACUGAGACACGGCCCAG